rnacentral:rRNA from 1 species
UACGUAGGGGGCAAGCGUUGUCCGGAAUCAUUGGGCGUAAAGCGCGUGUAGGCGGUCCGGUAAGUCCGCUGUGAAAGUCGGGGGCUCAACCCUCGGAUGCCGGUGGAUACUGUCGGGCUUGAGUACGGAAGAGGCGAGUGGAUUUCCUGGUGUAGCGGUGAAAUGCGCAGAUAUCAGGAAGAACACCCGUGGCGAAAGCGGCUCUCUGGAACGGUACUGACGCUGAGACGCGAAAGCGUGGGGAGCGAACAGG